UUUUGUUAUAGGUAAAAGAACUCUUCCAUUCCUUGGGUGUAGAGUACUAUGCUUUGGAACUUGAUAUAACUGAUGAUGGAGCCAGUAUUCAGCAAGUAUUGGUAGAGCUAACAAAUCAGAGGACAGUUCCUAAUGUAUUUGUGAAUGGGAAACAUGUAGGUGGAUGCGAUUCAACUUUUCAGGCUUACCAGAAUGGAUCACUGCAGAAACUUCUUGGGGACAGCAAAGGUGCAGAACCCUAUGACUAUGACCUGAUUAUUAUUGGUGGUGGCUCUGGUGGACUUGCUUGUU